rnacentral:rRNA from 1 species
GCAUAUCAAUAGCGGAGGAAAAGAAACCAACAGGGAUUGCCCUUAGUAACGGCGUAGUGAAGCGGCAACAGCUCAAAUUUGAAAUCUGGCCUUCGGGUCCGAGUUGUAAUUUGUAGAGGAUGCUUUUGGUGAGGUACCUUCCGAGUUCCCUGGAACGGGACGCCAUAGAGGGUGAGAGCCCCGUCUGGUUGGAUACCGAUCCUCUGUAAAGCUCCUUCGACGAGUCGAGUAGUUUGGGAAUGCUGCUCUAAAUGGGAGGUAUAUGUCUUCUAAAGCUAAAUAUUGGCCAGAGACCGAUAGCGCACAAGUAGAGUGAUCGAAAGAUGAAAAGCACUUUGAAAAGAGAGUUAAAAAGUACGUGAAAUUGUUGAAAGGGAAGCGCUCAUGACCAGACUUGGGCUUGGUUGAUCAUCCAGGGUUCUCCCUGGUGCACUCUUCCAGCCCAGGCCAGCAUCAGUUCGCUGUGGGGGAUAAAGGCUUCGGGAAUGUGGCUCCUCCGGGAGUGUUAUAGCCCGCUGCGUAAUACCCUGUGGCGGACUGAGGUUCGCGCAUCUGCAAGGAUGCUGGCGUAAUGGUCAUCAGCGACCCGUCUUGAAACACGGACCAAGGAGUCGUCUUCGUAUGCGAGUGUUCGGGUGUUAAACCCCUACGCGUAAUGAAAGUGAACGCAGGUGAGAGCUUCGGCGCAUCAUCGACCGAUCCUGAUGUUCUCGGAUGGAUUUGAGUAAGAGCAUACGGGGCCGGACCCGAAAGAAGGUGAACUAUGCCUGUAUAGGGUGAAGCCAGAGGAAACUCUGGUGGAGGCUCGCAGCGGUUCUGACGUGCAAAUCGAUCGUCAAAUAUGGGCAUGGGGGGCGAAAGACUAAUCGAACCUUCUAGUAGCUGGGUUUCCGCCGA